GGUAAAAAGAAAAAAUUGUGUGUUGUUAUUUGUGCUUUCAGGAUUACAAGCAAGCACAAGACACCACCUUGUAAAAUGAGUUAUGUUUAUUAACUCAGUGAAAAUCCCAUGGCCUUCGGCCCAACACUAUUCUUCUAUGUGAAGCUACUGCCCGAGACUAGCCUAUGCACUGUGUUAAUUCUUGACUGCCACUGUUGUACGUUUCAAUCCUUAAAUAUUCUUCAACCUUGAGCUGCACCUCCGUUAAUUGUGGCGGCAAUGUCCGUUACUCCUUACCUCCUCAUUUACUGUGCUGUUGACGUCAUGCCAUUUUGUUACAUUAGCAAGUAUCAUCCACGCAAGCAGAUAAACUUUUCUUGAGCGAGUAAUAUGUGU
rnacentral:lncRNA from 1 species